rnacentral:rRNA from 1 species
AGUUGACCCCUUCGGGGUGAUUCUGGCGGAAUGAGCGGCGGACGGGUGAGUAACACGUGGGCAACCUGCCUGUAAGACUGGGAUAACUUCGGGAAACCGGAGCUAAUACCGGAUAGUAUUUCCUUUCUCCUGAUUGGAAAUGGAAAGACGGUUUCGGCUGUCACUUACAGAUGGGCCCGCGGUGCAUUAGCUAGUUGGCGGGGUAAUGGCCCACCAAGGCGACGAUGCAUAGCCGACCUGAGAGGGUGAUCGGCCACACUGGGACUGAGACACGGCCCAGACUCCUACGGGAGGCAGCAGUAGGGAAUCUUCCGCAAUGGACGAAAGUCUGACGGAGCAACGCCGCGUGAGCGAUGAAGGCCUUCGGGUCGUAAAGCUCUGUUGUUAGGGAAGAACAAGUACGAGAGUAACUGCUCGUACCUUGACGGUACCUAACCAGAAAGCCCCGGCUAACUACGUGCCAGCAGCCGCGGUAAUACGUAGGGGGCAAGCGUUGUCCGGAAUUAUUGGGCGUAAAGGGCGCGUAGGCGGUUUCUUAAGUCUGAUGUGAAAGCCCACAGCUUAACUGUGGAGGGUCAUUGGAAACUGGGGAACUUGAGUGCAGAAGAGGAGAGUGGAAUUCCACGUGUAGCGGUGAAAUGCGUAGAUAUGUGGAGGAACACCAGUGGCGAAGGCGACUCUCUGGUCUGUAACUGACGCUGA